rnacentral:sRNA from 1 species
GUGUCCCGCCCGGUAUUUGUGCGGCGCCAGCUGGCCCGGUAGCCUGCGGCGCAGAGAGGCUGGGCUUAUAGGCGCAGUAGCUCCAGAGGUCGCGCUGGGCUGAGAGUGCGGGCCGGCAGAGGCUGGCGGGGAGCAGCCGGGGUUAUGCUGGGCAAGGAUUACAUGCUGGCCAUCAUUCUGGUCAACUGCGAUGAUGACUUGUGGGGGGACCACAGUCUGGAGGGGGAGGCUGGCCUGCCUCCUGGCUGGAGGAAGAUCCACGAUGCUGCAGGUACUUACUACUGGCAUAUACCCAGCGGUAGCACCCAGUGGCAGCGCCCAACCUGGGAACUAGGAGAUGCAGAGGACCCAGGCACGGGAACGGAGGGGAUCUGGGGACUGCGACCCCCCAAAGGGAGAUCCUUCUCCAGCCUGGAGAGUUCACUGGACCGGAGGUAACGGGUGGCCCAGGCAAAAUGAAAGGCUUGGGGUUCCAUGGUGUUCAAAAACGCAGCUGAACCCAUGGUCUGCUUUCCAGCCCAGGUUCUGGAUUCCGUCACAUGUUUUGGGUUCUGUUAUGUUCUUGGCUCUGUCCCAAGUUCUUAACUGUCAGUAUUUUGAGUUUUAUCCCUUGUUCUAAGCUCUUGUUUGUAGCUACAUGUUUUUCAUAUUCUUGGUCCUAACCUAUCAUGUUCUAGACCUUGGCCAUUA